GCCGAAAUAGCUCAGUUGGGAGAGCGUUAGACUGAAGAUCUAA
rnacentral:tRNA from 1 species